UACGUAGGGUGCAAGCGUUAAUCGGAAUUAUUGGGCGUAAAGAGCUCGUAGGCGGCCUGUUGCGUCCGCUGUGAAAGCCCGGGGCUUAACCCCGGGUCGGCAGUGGAUACGGGCAGGCUAGAGGUAGGUAGGGGAGAAUGGAAUUCCCGGUGUAGCGGUGAAAUGCGCAGAUAUCGGGAGGAACACCGGUGGCGAAGGCGGUUCUCUGGGCCUUACCUGACGCUGAGGAGCGAAAGCGUGGGGAGCGAACAGG
rnacentral:rRNA from 1 species